rnacentral:rRNA from 1 species
ACGUACGCUGGCGGCACGCCUAACACAUGCAAGUCGAACGAAGUAGCAAUACUUAGUGGCAGACGGGUGAGUAACAUGUAGGUAUCUGCCCUUUGGCCUGGAAUAACACGAGGAAACUUGUGCUAAUACCGGAUAAGUCUUUACAGAGAAAGCUUUAUGCACCAUUGGAUGAGCCUGCACUUGAUUAGUUUGUUGGUGGGGUAAUGGCCUACCAAGACUGUGAUCAAUAGCUGAUUUGAGAGGAUGAUCAGCCACAUUGGGACUGAGACACGGCCCAAACUCCUACGGGAGGCAGCAGUGGGGAAUCUUGCACAAUGGAGGAAACUCUGAUGCAGCGAUGCCGCGUGAGUGAAGAAGGCCCUUGGGUUGUAAAGCUCUUUCGUCGGGGAAGAAAAUGACUGUACCCGAAUAAGAAGGUCCGGCUAACUUCGUGCCAGCAGCCGCGGUAAUACGAAGGGACCUAGCGUAGUUCGGAAUUACUGGGCUUAAAGAGUUCGUAGGUGGUUGAAAUAGUUGGUGGUGAAAUCCCAGAGCUUAACUCUGGAACUGCCAUCAAAACUUUUCAGCUAGAGUAUGAUAGAGGGAAGCAGAAUUUCUAGUGUAGAGGUGAAAUUCGUAGAUAUUAGAAAGAAUACCAAAUGCGAAGGCAGCUUUCUGGAUCAUUACUGACACUGAGGAACGAAAGCAUGGGUAGCGAAGAGGAUUAGAUACCCUCGUAGUCCAUGCCGUAAACGAUGUGUGUUAGACGUUGGAAAUUUAUUUUCAGUGUCGCAGGGAAACCGAUAAACACACCGCCUGGGGAGUACGACCGCAAGGUUAAAACUCAAAUGAAUUGACGGGGACCCGCACAAGUAGUGGAGCAUGUGGUUUAAUUCGAAGAUACGCGCAGAACCUUACCAACACUUGACAUGUUCGUCGCGACUCUAAGAGAUUAGAGUUUUCGGUUCGGCCGGACGAAACACAGGUGCUGCAUGGCUGUCGUCAGCUCGUGUCGUGAGAUGUUGGGUUAAGUCCCGCAACGAGCGCAACCCUCACUUUUAGUUGCCAUCAUUAAGUUGGGCACUCUGAAAGAACUGCCAGUGAUAAGCUGGAGGAAGGUGGGGAUGACGUCAAGUCCUCAUGGCCCUUACGUGUUGGGCUACACACGUGCUACAAUGGUAUCUACAACAGGAAGCAAGACUGCGAAGUUAAGCAAAUCCCUAAAAGAUACCUCAGUUCGGAUUGCACUCUGCAACUCGAGUGCAUGAAGCUGGAAUUACUAGUAAUCGUGGAUCAGCGUGCCACGGUGAAUGCGUUCCCGGGUCUUGUACUCACCGCCCGUCAA